AAGUGAGAAUGCCGGUGUGAGUAGCGAAAGACGGGUGAGAAUCCCGUCCACCGAUUGACUAAGGUUUCCAGAGGAAGGCUCGUCCGCUCUGGGUUAGUCGGGUCCUAAGCUGAGGCCGACAGGCGUAGGCGAUGGAUAACAGGUUGAUAUUCCUGUACCACCUAUAAUCGUUUUAAUCGAUGGGGGGACGCAGUAGGAUAGGCGAAGCGUGCGAUUGGAUUGCACGUCUAAGCAGUAAGGCUGAGUAUUAGGCAAAUCCGGUACUCGUUAAGGCUGAGCUGUGAUGGGGAGAAGACAUUGUGUCUUCGAGUCGUUGAUUUCACACUGCCGAGAAAAGCCUCUAGAUAGAAAAUAGGUGCCCGUACCGCAAACCGACACAGGUAGUCAAGAUGAGAAUUCUAAGGUGAGCGAGCGAACUCUCGUUAAGGAACUCGGCAAAAUGACCCCGUAACUUCGGGAGAAGGGGUGCUCUUUAGGGUUAACGCCCAGAAGAGCCGCAGUGAAUAGGCCCAAGCGACUGUUUAUCAAAAACACAGGUCUCUGCUAAACCGUAAGGUGAUGUAUAGGGGCUGACGCCUGCCCGGUGCUGGAAGGUUAAGAGGAGUGGUUAGCUUCUGCGAAGCUACGAAUCGAAGCCCCAGUAAACGGCGGCCGUAACUAUAACGGUCCUAAGGUAGCGAAAUUCCUUGUCGGGUAAGUUCCGACCCGCACGAAAGGCGUAACGAUUUGGGCACUGUCUCAACG
rnacentral:rRNA from 1 species